rnacentral:lncRNA from 1 species
GUGGAUUGAGCGAUAAUGAUUAUAAUUAAGGGAGAUUUAAUAAUAUAAUAAUCAAAAAUAAAUUUAUAAAAAAUUUCAAACACUUUUAAGUUUCAUAAAAAAUCUAUGAAAAAUUCUAUCCGAAAAAUAAGCUAAUUGAAAAUUUAAUAAAUAAAUAAAUUACUUGAUUAAUCCCCCUCUUUUUAGCUUCUCUCCCUUUCACUAGGUCUCUACUUCUUCACUUAGUUCGCUCUGUUGCUAUUUUUUGCUUCUGCGAUUCAGCUCCGCAGUCUAUUAUGCUUCACCAGCAAGCUUCUACGCCAAGCUCCCUCUGUUAGUUUCUGCAUGUUUUUUUUUCUUUCUCCUUUUGUUUCACCCACUGGUUGCCUCCUCUUCUUUGUUCAGAUCUCAUUUCUUUUUAUAGGUGAAAGGAGGAGAGGAGCUUAGGUUUUUGCACGCCUCAUUUUCCUUUUCAACGUCUAUUCUUUCAGCUGCUUCUUUUUUCGC